GCAAGUGGAUGGCACAGUUGGGACCCAUUCCCAAGCCUGCCCACUCCCGAGGCUCCGGGUCAGUGGGUAGACUCGGCUCUGCUGCUGGACUGUGAACGCAUGUCUGUCCCUAUUCUGCUUCCGUGACUACUUGUAUGUUGUUUAUAAAGGCACCUGAGGCCCCUGGCUCACCUGUGUUUGUGUUUGACAGAGCAAGGUGACGUCACGGUGCCCGUCGCAGAGCAAGUGGAGAAGCUGAAGGAGGUGGCAGACUUCCCUGAGAACUGGGCCGCCACCGAGCGCCUGGCGUGCUGGCCUUCCUGUACCUGUACCUGGCCAUCUGUCGGAGGCAGAGGUGCGCGGGGAGGAGGGGGGCUGCAGGUUCCAGGCACACCCCGCUAGGGAAAGCUCGGCCAAGUCGGCCGCCGCCUCGGUCUCUGUGGGGGGCAGCAUCGGCUGUCCUCACCUGUGCCCAGCACCCUCCAGAUGCUCUGUAGUUUUUUGUCUAAGGACAGGGGC
rnacentral:lncRNA from 1 species